ACGCGCAGACCUUACCAGUCCUUGACAUCCUAGGACGGUUUCUGGAUACAGACUCCUUCCCUUCGGGGACCUAGUGACAGGUGCUGCAUGGCUGUCGUCAGCUCGUGUCGUGAGAUGUUGGGUUAAGUCCCGCAACGAGCGCAACCCUCGUCCUUAGUUGCCAUCAUUUAGUUGGGCACUUUAAGGAAACUGCCGGUGAUAAGCCGGAGGAAGGUGGGGAUGACGUCAAGUCCUCAUGGCCCUUACAGGCUGGGCUACACACGUGCUACAAUGGCAUCUACAGUGAGCAGCGAUCCCGCGAGGGUUAGCUAAUCUCCAAAAGAUGUCUCAGUUCGGAUUGUUCUCUGCAACUCGAGAGCAUGAAGGCGGAAUCGCUAGUAAUCG
rnacentral:rRNA from 1 species